rnacentral:rRNA from 1 species
UGAGUACGAGCGGCUACGGCCGCGAAGUGGAUGAUGUCAAGCUUCCAAGAAAAGCCCUAUACCCGUUAAGGCAUGAUGGCCUGUACCCGAAACCGACACAGGUGGGGUGGUAGAGAAUACCGAGGGGCGCGAGGUAACUCUCUCUAAGGAACUCGGCAAAAUGGCCCCGUAACUUCGGGAGAAGGGGUGCCACCGCGAGGUGGUCGCAGUGAAGAGGCCCAGGCGACUGUUUACCAAAAACACAGGUCUCCGCUAAGUCGCAAGACGAUGUAUGGGGGCUGACGCCUGCCCAGUGCCGGAAGGUUAAGGAAGCUGGUCAGCGCAAGCGAAGCUGGCGACUGAAGCCCCGGUGAACGGCGGCCGUAACUAUAACGGUCCUAAGGUAGCGAAAUUCCUUGUCGGGUAAGUUCCGACCCGCACGAAAGGCGUAACGAUCUGGGCGCUGUCUCGGAGAGAGGCUCGGCGAAAUAGAAUUGUCUGUGAAGAUGCGGACUACGUGCACCCGGACAGAAAGACCCUAUGAAGCUUUACUGUAGCUUGGUAUUGUGCUCGGGCUCGGAAUGCGCAGGAUAGGUGGGAGGCUUUGAUCCAUUGCUUGCGGGUGAUGGUGAGCCACUGGUGAGAUACCACUCUUUCCGAGCUAGAGUUCUAACAGCAACCCGUUAUCCGGGUGCUGGACAGUAUCAGGUGGGCAGUUUGACUGGGGCGGUCGCCUCCUAAAAGGUAACGGAGGCGCGCAAAGGUCUGCUCAGGCUGGUUGGGAAUCAGCCGACGAGUGUAAAAGCAGAAGCAGGCUUGACUGUGAGACCUACAAGUCGAACAGGGAGGAAACUCGGCUUUAGUGAUCCGACGGUUCUGCGUGGAAGGGCCGUCGCUCAACGGAUAAAAGUUACUCUAGGAUAACAGGCUGAUCUCCCCCAAGAGUUCACAUCGACGGGGAGGUUUGGCACCUCGAUGUCGGCUCAUCGCAACCUGGGGCUGAAGUCGGUCCCAAGGGUUGGGCUGUUCGCCCAUUAAAGCGGUACGCGAGCUGGGUUCAGAACGUCGUGAGACAGUUCGGUCCAUAUCCGGUGCACGCGCAGGAAUAUUGAGAGGAUUUCUCCCUAGUACGAGAGGACCGGGAGGAACGCACCUCUGGUGUGCCAGUUAUCGUGCCAACGGUAAACGCUGGGUAGCCAUGUGCGGAGUGGAUAACCGCUGAAAGCAUCUAAGUGGGAAGCCCACCUCAAGAUGAGUAUUCCCAUGGCAUAAGCCAGUAAGGUCACGGGAAGAACACCCGUUGAUAGGCUCUACGUGGAAGCGCAGUAAUGUGUGAAGCGGAGGAGUACUAAUAGACCGAGGGCUUGAU